rnacentral:tRNA from 1 species
GGGGUGGUUUACUCUAUAUUGUGGGAGAGCGCUUGAAUGGCAUUCAAGAGGUCAGCGGUUCGAUCCCGCUUAUCUCCACCA